AAAGCAAAGAGGCACGCACGCUGGCGUCUGCGCAGCGAAAUAAACAUAAUUUAUUAUGAGUGCGUGCUGCCAUGUCAUGUGUUUGUUUACAUCGUGUUUAGUGUAAACAGUGGCUAGUGUGUUAUGUGCUCAAUAAAUUUAUUUGUGUUUAUUGAUUCGUCAUGUAUUCUCUUCGGGUGAUGCUGCUCAUCAUCAGCCUGACGCUGUGCUGGCUGGCAGCAGCUGACGGGCACCCCCUGGGACCCCUGGGAGCCCUGUGGAGCCCCCCCGACCCGGAGACCACAAACACCAAAGACACAAAACCGGAGAGGUGGACCCACGUCUCCGAUGACUACAAGAAAUAUAACUACCUGAUUACCACGUAUUUGUAAAUAUUGUUUGUUAAUAGAGUAAGGGUAUGAAAAUGUGAUUUAUUUUUAUGAAUAAAAGUGUGAUUUAAAUUA